AACAUCAGAUCCAUCUAAAAAACAACAUAUCUCUGUUGUAGAAAACCAAUCUAGGCAACCUCUCAAAUAAAUAAAAAACAAUCUACCGUGCUCAUAUAGAAAAUCAGGAUCGAUCUUUCCCUAAAGAAGCCUCGCACAAUAUUUUUCUCCGUCUUCGAAUCCCCUCCUUCUCUUCCACGACGUCCACCUCCGCUCGAUCUUUUGCUAUAUAUUCUAGGUAGAAGCCAGCGCAAAAGUGCCCUCCCUCACCCCGCUCGAUGACUUGCUCCCUCCAGACUUGAUGCGCUGGUACAAUCUCGGCUGCAGACCCUGGCAGGAGAUUGUUCUCCUGAUAUACUACGUAGUUUCCAUCCGCAUGGGAACGGCUCUGCCACAUCGCAGGUAGAUCAAAGGCACAUCUCCCGUUUGGAUGGCAAGCCCAAGUCAGCAGCCGCCACCUCUAGCGGAUCAUGUCACCGGCCUAUGGGAUACACUCCCUGCAUGCAAAUUGGUGGUUCAUGGACGUAUAUAUCCAAGAGGCGCUACAGAAUCUCUUAUAAGACGGAUUGAUAUGCAUGGAGGAACUACAAGUUUGAUCAGCACCGGACCAUGUGUCAUGCACAACGAGUCGCGGAUUCAACAUGUGCCCGGGACUGAACAAACAAGUACCAGCAGCAGGACGCCCAUGUUCUUGAUUACGCAGAUGUUCAUUAUCCUAAUGGUGGUCUUUAUACCCAUGGAGACUGGACAAAUUUCGAAUGGCUGCAAGAGUUCGAGAUCAACAAGGAUGUCAGCCAUAUAAACCAUGCCUAAAUCGACCAAACCGGUAGCAGUGGCGGCUGUAAUGAAGUCAGACAUACCAUGUUAGGCAAAAGUUUUCUGAAUCCGUUUUAAAUUUUAUUAGUGUUAAUAUUGGUAGAAUAAUUAAGACUCAGGACAACAUAGUAAGAUACACCCUCACAUCCUUCCAACAUGCUGUUUUGAUGUCUACCGAGAAAGAGGCAACAAGGACUAGGGAUUAAAUGAUGUCUACCGCCGAUUGAAAACAUGUGAAUGUGACAUGGAUUGACAUGGAAAUGAGGGUGGAAGAAAAAACGAGAAUGAGCAUUAUAGCCACAUGGUUACUUGGUGGAGCAUGGUCCUCAGACGAACAUGGCUAACUGAUGUUCGUGAGUACGCAUGGUAAAUGCCUUGAAAGUAAACAACAUGGCAACAAGGUGAUUGGAUUUUCCAUAUCUUAUGUCCGUGAGUUACCAACGACAUUGAGACCAGAUUUAUUUCAAUCUAAGAGGCAACAUGCUCCAGAUUAUAUCAUUAUUAAUUAUGUGCUAACACACAAGUUUCCUGUAGGGUAUUAUCUAUUAAAGCUUUUUUUACAAAGUUGUCCAAAUUCUCCGUGGCCUUAAUUUUUAUUUUGAAGGGAGAUAGAACAAAGAUUGAUUCAGAAUUUGUAACACAAUUAUAAAUAUGUUAAUGUAUACGUAAAAUUAUUUUUAGUAACAUCUUUUAGAGACAUAAUAUUCACACUGUGUAUACACAUUUACAAAAGUACGACAUAAAGCAAUUUUCAUAUUUGCUCUCUAUUUUUUAGACAUAUAAUCAAAAUAGUUAAUAGAAAGAUCAAAAACUGCAGAUUAUAAGUCAAGUGAGAGCUCAGACCAAAUUGUUUUAUAGUGUACAUUGAAAUGGAAGACCAAUGUGCUACAACAUGACAUGUAUGCAUUAAAUAUACAAUUAAUUAUUAUUUUCAAUGUUGCAAAUUACCAGCCCUAAAAAAUUAUGCAUUCAAUUGUUAUAUGUAUGGAUGCCAAAUAUAGGGCAUGUCUCAAAUAACUAUGUUCGAAGACAUGCAUUCCAAUGGCACAUGUUGGAAUAACAAACACAUUCUAACAAUUCAAUUGGCAUAGAUAAAGCAAUAACAUACAGUGCGUAAUGCAUAAAAAAUUACAAGACAACAGAGAGAUGAGAAUUAAAAAACAUAGUUACAGUCCACACAUAUAUCAUUUAAUCAAGGUGACUAUUGUUGGAAAUAUUCUGUACAAAAUAAAAGAGUAUAACUCCAUACCUCAAAGACAUAUUUAUGAAGUUUUUUCUCUAUUUCUUACUAGCCCGUGCGAAUGCACGGGUAGACGACUAGUGUAUAUAAUCGCCGUAGUUCCUUAAUCAUCGCAUCGCCAAGGCCAAAAUCUGACUGUAUAACGAAGCCCAGUAAACAAGCCCAUGUUAAGGUCAAUUAGGCCAUCGUGGGUUCUCAAAGUCUGGAAGUUACGUCAUGGAGAGUCUAACCAUGGCGCCGCCAGGAUCUAUAGCUUCCGUCUGCACAUCACGCAAGAAUCGAUCUAAUUGAUUCUUGCUUGCGGCCGCCGCCGCCGUGCUUGCCUAAGGCACCAUACCACUAUGUAUUAUGUCUUCGUGCUAAUUAACUGCUAAGCAGGCUGCUGAUCAUGGCGACGUGCUGUGGCAUGGAGUCCGCCGAUCCCCACAUCUACGUCUCAAGGUACAGUGGUACACCCGUAUAUACUGGCAAUGGUGUUCUAACGGAUGAUGUCCUACUAGUAUAUAUAUAAUUCCUAUGGACUGCAAUAUACUAGUAUGUACAAUGGAAUCAUCAGAUGCCUUUCUUUUAAUUUUGUUUGAUGUGGUUUUGUGAUUAUAACCUACAGCACUUCUCUUCUUCUACAGAUGUAA